ensembl:snRNA U2 U2 spliceosomal RNA
AUCGCUUCUUGUCCCUCUGGCUAAGAACAAGUGUAGUAUCUGUUCUUCUCAGUUUAAUAUCUGACACAUCCUCUGAGGACAAUACAUUAAAUGGGUUUUCGGAGCUGGGAGAUGGAACAGGAGCUUGCUCCAUACACUCCAUGCAUCGACCUGGUAUUGCAGCAGUUCCAGGAAUGGUGCACCCCUC